rnacentral:rRNA from 1 species
AGCGGCAGGCUUAACACAUGCAAGUCGAGGGGCAUCACGGGUAGCAAUACCUGGUGGCGACCGGCGCAAGGGUGCGUAACGCGUGAGCAACAUGCCCUAUACAGGGGGAUAAUCCAGGGAAACUUGGUCUAAUAUCCCAUAGCAUUUAGAGGUGGCAUCACCAUUAAAUUAAAGCUUCGGUGGUAUAGGAUUGGCUCGCGUGACAUUAGCUAGAUGGUGGGGUAACGGCUCACCAUGGCUAUGAUGUCUAGGGGUUCUGAGAGGAAGACCCCCCACACUGGGACUGAGACACGGCCCAGACUCCUACGGGAGGCAGCAGUGAGGAAUAUUGGACAAUGGAUGGAAAUCUGAUCCAGCCAUGCCGCGUGCAGGAAGACAGCCCUAUGGGUUGUAAACUGCUUUUAUAUGGGAGCAAUAAGGUCUACGUGUAGACUGAUGAGAGUACCAUAUGAAUAAGCAUCGGCUAACUCCGUG